rnacentral:lncRNA from 1 species
AUGAGUAGGAAGUCAAGCAAAGGAGGUAGGAGACCCGCAUGGAUGAGCAAGGAGCUCCUGGCAAAACUCAACCAGAAGAAGGAAGUAUACAGAAAGUGGAAAGGGGGACAGGCCACUUGGGAGGAAUAUAGGAAUGUUGUUAGAGUAUGCAGGGAUGCGACAAGGAAGGCUAAGGCCUGUUUGGAAUUAAAUCUGGCAAGAGAUGUCAAGGACAACAAGAAGGGCUUCUUCAAAUACCUCAGUAGCAAGAGGAAGACUAGGGAAAAUGUGGGCCCUUUGCUGAAUGGGGUGGGUGCCCUGGUGACGAAGGAUGCAGAGAAGGCAGAGUUACUGAAUGCCUUCUUUGCUUCAGUCUUUACUGCUCAGGCCAGCCCUCAGGAACCCCAGACCCUGGAGGCAAGAGAGAAAGUCUGGAGGAAGGAAGACUUUCUCUUGGUGGAGGAGGAUCGGGUUAGAGAUCAUUUAAGCAAACUUGACACCCACAAAUCCAUGGGACCUGAUGGGAUGCAUCCACGAGUGCUGAGGGAGCUGGCGGACGUUAUUGCUAAGCCACUCUCCAUCAUCUUUGAAAGGUCAUGGAGAACAGGAGAGGUGCCUGAGGACUGGAAGAAAGCCAAUGUCACCCCAGUCUUCAAAAAGGGCAAGAAGGAGGACUCAGGGAACUACAGGCCAGUCAGCCUCACCUGCAUCCCUGGAAAGGUGAUGGAGCAGCUCAUCCUGGAGGCCAUCUCCAAGCAUGUGGAGGAGAAGAAGGUGAUCAGGAGUAGUCAGCAUGGCUUCACCAAGGGGAAAUCAUGCCUAACCAAUCUGAUAGCCUUCUAUGAUGGAAUGACUGGCUGGGUAGAUGAGGGGAGAGCAGUGGAUGUUGUCUACCUUGACUUCAGCAAGGCUUUCGACACUGUCUCCCAUAACAUCCUCAUAGACAAGCUCAGGAAGUGUGGGCUGGAUGAGUGGACAGUGAGGUGCAUUGAGAACUGGCUGAAUGGCAGAGCUCAGAGGGUUGUGAUCAGCGGCACAGAGUCUAGUUGGAGGCCUGUAGCUAGCGGUGUCCCCCAGGGGUCAGUACUGGGUCUUGUUCAACUUCUUCAUCAACGACCUGGAUGA